UCAAGGCAGUGCGGAGGCGGAAACUGGAAGAAACACCAAAGCCCGCUCCUCCUCUCCCCGUGCUGGCAGGCUAGAUCGCCGGGAACUCUCCGAUGACCGGCGGCAGCACUCGGCGUCAAUCUGCCGCCUCCAGGAGCCGCGGCGACCCCUUCUCCUCUUCCCCGGAUCCGUAUGGCGACCAUGCUCCGCUGCGCCUCAUGGACGGGAACGGGAGCGCCAGAAUCCCCUCCUUCUCCUAUGAAUUGAUUCGUUCGCCCUCCUGUCCUGUCCGUCGCAUUCCUCGCGUAUACCGGCGGGUGGUUGCAGACGGGGUCGGAGUCGGAGGCAGCCGCGGCGCUCCUUCACGCCGCUUGAUGCGCCCCGGAUGAUGGAUCUGCCUCUGGUGAGGAUCGUUAGUUCAUGGCGUCAUUGCUGCCCACCCCUUGGUUGCUUUGCUAGAAUGCGACAUCUCAGUUGGUCAGAUAGCCUAGGUGUUACUAUUAUUUGUACUCCAGUUGAACAUCUCUGCUCUAUGUUUGAACAUUUGGUUAAGAUGAACUGGGGCUCAACAUUUGGUUACUGAUUUAGCUUUCUGAUGGUUAAUGUUGACCGGCUGCAGUGUUGCAAGGCGAUCACAAAGAAAGCCUGUAUUGGGUGACUUGCAGGCCAAUUGUAAAUCUCAGAAUUCGUGCUAGGUGGAGUACUACUUAACUUUGGUGAUCCUUUUCUCUUUCCACUUAUGGCAUGAUAGUUGGAAUUAUUCUGAUAUCUUUGUCACGGUUUUUUGUUGGGUUUCAUCUCUAGCCAACCCCAAUUUGCUUGGGACAAAAGGACUCAAGACAUUCGUAUUGCUAGCAUCAUUAGUUUUUAUGCAAAGUGGCAAGCUUUAAUCUGCCGGACAUGACUGAAGACUCUUCAAACAUUAAUGAUCUAUCGGGUACUUUAAAGGUUUUAACAAAAACUUCCUGCCAAAAAUGACAUAGUGUUCUUGUCACUUGUCAGGGGCUGGCUCAAAAACUCCAACGGUUGCAGAACGCGUUAACAGGAACAGCUGAUUUUGCUGCACAGUGCAAUACUCCUUAUAGAUAGGAUAUGUUCAUUAUUUGGAUUCCAUGGCUGCAUGCAUCGUUAGGAUGCAGAGGCCGGGGGUACGCCUCCAUUUCCAAAAAAAAUAAAAAAAAUGGAUUCCAUGGCCAUCGUCCAUAGUAUGCAGUGCACACUCUGAACAUUUUCAAGGAAGUCACACAAGCACUUGACUGCCUUGCUUCCUCGUAUCAGAUUGAUAUGAUAUCAGUUUUACCUGCAUCUUGUCCUUACAUUGAACCUGAACUUCACGAGUUUUGAAGGCACGAUAUGUUCAUUUUGUUUGUUAAUUGUUAUACCGAUGAUGAUGUCAGAUUUUUCAGGUCCCAUGCUGAGCACCCGCAUUGAAUCAAAACAGAAGGAGAUACGAUCAAAUGUUCAAUAUGAAUAAUAAGUUUGGUCUGGUUUGCAGAUGAUGCGGCAACGCCUGUUGCGCUUGCUCAAAAGAUGGCUGUCACUCCGGCGGAAGAAAGAUAUGAGAUAUCCUGGUGCUGGACAAAUGCCUCAGGAUCAUGGAGACCAAGGCGAGGGAAUGUCCCCGGCUCGGCUCGGCUCAGCUUGAAGAAGAGAACAACUGUGCUGGUGCUGGGAUUUGGAAGAUGGCGCUCUAUCGAUCUGAUCAGGAGUAUGGUCCUGAUAGCUAAAAAUCAGUAGUGGAGAUUGGCGCAGGGUACAAAGCUGUACUCCCUCUGAUCCAUAUUACCUGUCACUCAAACGGAUGUUUACACGCGUACAAAGUUGUAAUGAUUAUUAAUAUGUACUGAAUAAA